rnacentral:rRNA from 1 species
UACGUAGGGUGCAAGCGUUAAUCGGAAUUACUGGGCGUAAAGCGUGCGCAGGCGGUGAUGCAAGACAGAUGUGAAAUCCCCGGGCUUAACCUGGGAACUGCAUUUGUGACUGCAUUGCUGGAGUGCGGCAGAGGGGGAUGGAAUUCCGCGUGUAGCAGUGAAAUGCGUAGAUAUCAGGAGGAAUACCGAUGGCGAAGGCAGGUCUCUGGGCUGACACUGACGCUCAUGCACGAAAGCGUGGGGAGCAAACAGG